AAAGAAUUCGGGAAUCACCUUUUUCAAAUGUUUCAUUCCUUUUUUCCAUUCCUUAAAGGUAAUGAACUCCCCAAAGGCAGAGACGUUAGUGGAUGAAUGAAGAAAUGAAAUGAGAAGGAGCUAGAAAUGGAACAUGCUAUCUGUGAUGGUGCCUGCAGAGCUGUCUGCAUCCCAUUAUGCCUCACUAUAUGGAAAGAUUGACUGCAUUCUUUCGAACAUUGCCUAGUUCAACAAGUAAGUAUUGGAUGGAUGGAGGGAUGGAUAUAUAGGUGGAGGGAUAGACAGAGGGAUAGAUGGGUACCGUGUGUUAAACAUAGUGCUAAGCAUUUCAUAUGCUUUAUAUGAUAUUAUCCUCAUGUCUCUGCAAGGUAAAUACUAUUGUUAUCACCACGUUAACGUGAGACACAGAGACAUCUAGAAGAUUACAGGAUGUGAGCAAGCUCACAAGCAAGUGGCAGAGUUGGGACUAGAAUCCAGGCAGUGCACUCCUGAGCUAUGAAGAACUUCACCCUGCAAAGUGCUGGGCAAACCCCUCAUUCAGAGCCAGCAUUUUACAGGGCAGUGCAGUUACUUUCAGGGAGGGAGUAAUCUCAAGACUCUCAUGACUAUGUCUGCUCUGCUUUCUUCACAGGCUUUUAAUUUCAGUCUAAUUCAAGUCAGCAGCACAGGGCAGCUCCUGGGAAAUUGGUUUACACAUGCAGACAAGCCCAGUAGCCCAGAGCUAACCCACUCACCAUCCCUGACCAUAGAGGAGCAGAUAAGGAAGCAAGAUUUGUCGGGAGCUAUGACAAGUUCCACUGUGGACAGCAAGGAAAUGAGGGGGCAGCAACCUGUUAAUGAGACUCAAGAGUGUCAAGACCCAUUUUUGUUAUCUGGAUUUUCAAGGCCGAGUUCAAACAUGAGGAUCCUGGAAAGGUUGGCAGACGUCUGCGGAAGCUACCCUCUCUGUUGUAAAAGUCCACAAAUGAGAAGUGGCUGCAGUGUAUAAACCUGUGGACAGCUCUUCCUGUGCUGUCACCCACUCUCAUAGCUCACCAUCCUCAGGUACCCUCUUAUCUCUGCUCACACAGUACCCACCUGAAAUGCCUAACCUGGUAACUCCACCCAGUGAAAUUCUGUGAAUCCCG
rnacentral:lncRNA from 1 species